AUUGAGCGCUGGCGGCAGGCCUAACACAUGCAAGUCGGACGGUAGCACAGAGAGCUUGCUCUUGGGUGACGAGUGGCGGACGGGUGAGUAAUGUCUGGGGAUCUGCCCGAUAGAGGGGGAUAACCACUGGAAACGGUGGCUAAUACCGCAUAACGUCGCAAGACCAAAGAGGGGGACCUUCGGGCCUCUCACUAUCGGAUGAACCCAGAUGGGAUUAGCUAGUAGGCGGGGUAAUGGCCCACCUAGGCGACGAUCCCUAGCUGGUCUGAGAGGAUGACCAGCCACACUGGAACUGAGACACGGUCCAGACUCCCACGGGAGGCAGCAGUGGGGAAUAUUGCACAAUGGGCGCAAGCCUGAUGCAGCCAUGCCGCGUGUAUGAAGAAGGCCUUCGGGUUGUAAAGUACUUUCAGCGGGGAGGAAGGCGACGCGGUUAAUAACCGCGUCGAUUGACGUUACCCGCAGAAGAAGCACCGGCUAACUCCGUGCCAGCAGCCGCGGUAA
rnacentral:rRNA from 1 species